CCAGAUGUUCCCGUCUCUCUCCACUUCGUGUGAAUCUCCAGAUCUGCCACUCGGCGCUGUCAGUUGUCCCCGGCAUUCGAUGGAAACAGUAACUGACUGUGUCUCUGAGCUGAGACACAACAUCAAGGAUCUGCUGAAGUCUGCAUUACCCAAGAUCUCUGCUACAGUGUCUGCUGUACAUGUUAUACUGCCAGUUGUGCCGAAGACCAGAGAAGAGUUUCUACUUUAUUGCUGUCCUCUAACACUGGAUGUCAACUCAGUCUCCCAAAGGUUUUCGUUUUCACAAGAAUAUCGGCGGGUGCAAAGCCAUUCCUGUCAACAAUAUCAUUCUUCUCACCCAGACAGAUUUGGAUAUGACAGGCAGGUGUUGUGCAGGGAGGGUUUGACAGAGCGAUGCUACUGGGAGGUCAGUUGGAGUCGUUGUACUUUGAGUACUUUGAGUUGUUGUACUUGGUCAGUGGCAGUGUCUUACAAAGACAUCAGCAGAAAAUCGUCUGACUCUGAGUUUGGAAACAAUACCAAGUCGUGGAGUUUAGAGUGUUCCUCAGGUGGUUAUACUUUCCGACACAACAGCAGAAGCGUGGCAGUAUCAGGCCCUAAAACUUCCAAGAUCGGAGUGUACCUGGAUCACAAAGCGGGUAGUCUGUCCUUUUAUAGCAUCUCUGACUCGAUGACUCUGCUCCACAAAGCGCACACCACGUUCACUCAGCCUCUCUAUCCUAGCCUUGGGCACAAGAAUUGUGACAGCUGUGGGAGUCAUGCAGAAGUGAUGAAGUUAUGGUAGUGAGAUUUAUAUUGGAGUACUGGAGAUUGCACUUUACUCCGGUAUGUCUGGUGGUGGAUUAGAUGAUGUGAUUUCAAUGAAAGAGCCAAUUUUCUUAGCAGUGCUUACAAGAGAUGCUGAUAAAAUGUUUGGUUUUCUGUGAUGAGGGUUUUUUGUCUUUGAUAUUCUAUAACUAUAAAGUAACAUGUUAAGCAUCAACUUUUAAAAGCCAGUAUAAGGACUUUCCUAAAACCUGCUAGAACUGAUAGAAGUGACUUGUUUUUGUUACUUGGCAUCGGCAGGAACAAAAUGCUCAUCGCAGUUCAAGUGGAUUUCUUAAUGUUUUUUGCAAAGAGUUACUUGUUUAUACUUGAUUCAUUUGAGUUUCUGCUCAAUAGUCUUUGUCUUAACUCUUUUUGUGACUUUUACUAACUCCUGUGGGAUUUGCAGCAUCUGGUUCUUUAGCUGUCUGUGGUUUAGUGUGUCGUUUAGUGCAGAGCACUGUUUAAAACUUACACGUUUGCAAUGUUAUGAUGCUGGAUUGCCAACUCUUUUGGAAUUCCUACUUGCCUAAAAUGGCUAUUUGGGAAAUUAUGACACUUGCUUUCAUCAGAGUUGCAUUCGUUUUAGUGCGUUGGACAGUUGUUGUUUGCAAUCUGCAGUUGUCUUGUUCAGAAGAAUGGAUCUGUCUUUUUUUUUGUCUGUUAUUCCAUUUAUCCAGCCAAUUUGAGCAUA